ensembl:lncRNA
AGCUGAGGCAGCAGCUUCUUUUUGGAUGGAGAUUGUGUUUCUCUUGAGCUGCUCGUGGUCAUCAGAAGAGACCUUCAGCAACUCCCAUCUCUACAUCUGUCAGAAGCAAGCCAGGUACCCAGCCCAGAUGAGAGCAUAAUACGAGUUAAUUAUUGCUCACUUAAGAGAAGUCCUAUGCUGAGAGCUGUUGCCGGUGGGAUUCCCUGGAUUUGGUAAGGCACAUUUGGCUCCAUCACACUGGCAAGAAUGAAACAAUAUUUCCUGAGCACUGACCUCUUCGACACUUAUGUGGACUCAGCAUCUUAAUUGCUGUUAGUGUGAAUCACCAAAAGCUGGUGCAUAAUUUCUCGAGACAUUUAUUGGAGAUCUACAGUAGACAUUCACUCUCAAUAACAAAAAUAAAGAAAUCCAUAAAUCCCAUGAAACUUUCCCCUACUUCAUUUUAAGUUGUUUAUACAAGAAACUUCAUGUCGUAAUAACACUUUUUGGCCUUUGUUUGAUUGGAAAUUUCUAUUAAACUGUUAUGAGAAAAUAACUUUAUGCUUCAGGUUUUAUGUUUCGAUUUGAUUAACAACAGGCUUUUACAAGGACUGCAGCACUGCUGCCUUUACUGUACACAUCCAGCAUUAUUGCACUUGCUGUUUUGCUGUAAGGAGU